GGUGAACCUGCGGAAGGAUCAUUACCGAUGUGAAAAAUCCAAGGUUAAACAUCAUUAACCAGUGUGAACUGUACAACAACUCUUUAGGGGUCGGCACAGGCGUGUGUCGUUAAAUGGCGGAUAGGUUCCUUCCGCCAGCCCCGCCAUUGUGUUUAUUAUAUCACUUUGAACGUUAAAGACUGAGAACUAUGUAUCAUGCAUUAAAUGUAUGAGAAAGAAGGAAAGAAAAAUGAGAGACAACUUUUGACGGUGGAUCUCUUGGCUCACGUAUCGAUGAAGAACGCAGCCAGCUGCGAUAUGUAGUGUGAAUUGCAGAAUUCAGUGAAUCAUUGAAUCUUUGAACGCAAAUGGCGCUCUUGGGUUCUCCCAGGAGCAUGUCUGUCUGAGUGUCGGAUUUUAUCGAGCGCACUCGUGAGUGCGGUAUUGAGGUGUCACGGCGUGUUAGCAAGCAAGCAUUAAAUCGCCGUGUCCCUUGAAGGACAGCAGCAUUGGACUCGCAUUCUCUAUUGAAACUUGAGUGCGAAGGCUAAAGAUAAUAUUUUCCUUCGCCCAGACAUGCAAUAGCAGAAACAAAGUCCAAUCAAAGCGGUGACAGACAAUAAACAUCAAAUCUUGACCUCAGAUCAGGCAAGGCUACCCGCUGA
rnacentral:sRNA from 1 species